rnacentral:rRNA from 1 species
UGAGGAAUAUUGGUCAAUGGACGCGAGUCUGAACCAGCCAAGUAGCGUGAAGGAUGACUGCCCUAUGGGUUGUAAACUUCUUUUAUAUGGGAAUAAAGUUGUCCACGUGUGGAUUUUUGUAUGUACCAUAUGAAUAAGGAUCGGCUAACUCCGUGCCAGCAGCCGCGGUAAUACGGAGGAUCCGAGCGUUAUCCGGAUUUAUUGGGUUUAAAGGGAGCGUAGGCGGAUUGUUAAGUCAGUUGUGAAAGUUUGCGGCUCAACCGUAAAAUUGCAGUUGAUACUGGCAGUCUUGAGUGCAGUAGAGGUGGGCGGAAUUCGUGGUGUAGCGGUGAAAUGCUUAGAUAUCACGAAGAACUCCGAUUGCGAAGGCAGCUCACUGGAGUGUAACUGACGCUGAUGCUCGAAAGUGUGGGUAUCAAACA